UACGUAGGGUGCAAGCGUUAAUCGGAAUUACUGGGCGUAAAGCGCGUGUAGGCGGUCCGGUAAGUCCGCUGUGAAAGUCGGGGGCUCAACCCUCGGAUGCCGGUGGAUACUGUCGGGCUUGAGUAUGGGAGAGGUGAGUGGAAUUUCCGGUGUAGCGAUGAAAUGCGUAGAUAUCGGAAGGAACACCUGUGGCGAAAGCGGCUCACUGGACCAUUACUGACGCUGAGGCACGAAAGCUAGGGGAGCAAACGGG
rnacentral:rRNA from 1 species